rnacentral:lncRNA from 1 species
GUGUUAUGUGGAUCAGAAAAAAGAGUUUUUCAUUUGACUGGGGUGCCUAGCUCCUCAUGGCCAGCAGAUUCUUCCAGCUCACUUUGAUAGACUUCAUGCCGGGUUGUUCACGAACUCCAUGGCACCCACUCUUAGGCAUCACCAAAGGCAUGCCAACAGAAAGAAUAAUUUAAAAAAGAAUUCUGCAUUCACUAUUUUCCCCCUACCCCCUAACCUUCCAAGUAAAACAAAAAAACUAAAAGGGUAUCAAAAUCGUCAUCAUUAUAAAAUCAGAAUGUUUGAACUUCCUUGUAUUUCAUUAAAAAGUUCUGUGUGUGUGUGUCUUAUAUAUGUAUUUUCCUUAUUAUAAUAAUUAUUAUAAUUGCAUGAGUAUGUGUGAGUGUAAAGCCCCUGUCCUUAAAAAGCACACAUAACCCUGGAAUAGGACUGG